UUAAUACAAGAUGGCAUCAUGAGUCCACAUGUUCACAUGAUUAAAGGUAUUCCGGUAGACGAUGGGGAUGCGUUCCAUUAGAUAGUAGGCGGGGUAACGGCCCACCUAGUCUUCGAUGGAUAGGGGUUCUGAGAGGAAGGUCCCCCACAUUGGAACUGAGACACGGUCCAAACUCCUACGGGAGGCAGCAGUGAGGAAUAUUGGUCAAUGGGCGAGAGCCUGAACCAGCCAAGUAGCGUGAAGGAUGACUGCCCUAUGGGUUGUAAACUUCUUUUAUAAAGGAAUAAAGUCGGGUAUGCAUACCCGUUUGCAUGUACUUUAUGAAUAAGGAUCGGCUAACUCCGUGCCAGCAGCCGCGGUAAUACGGAGGAUCCGAGCGUUAUCCGGAUUUAUUGGGUUUAAAGGGAGCGUAGAUGGAUGUUUAAGUCAGUUGUGAAAGUUUGCGGCUCAACCGUAAAAUUGCAGUUGAUACUGGAUAUCUUGAGUGCAGUUGAGGCAGGCGGAAUUCGUGGUGUAGCGGUGAAAUGCUUAGAUAUCACGAAGAACUCCGAUUGCGAAGGCAGCCUGCUAAGCUGCAACUGACAUUGAGGCUCGAAAGUGUGGGUAUCAAACAGGAUUAGAUACCCUGGUAGUCCACACGGUAAAC
rnacentral:rRNA from 1 species